rnacentral:snRNA from 1 species
GUGCUCACUUCAGCAGCACAUAUACUAAAAUUGGAAUGAUACAGAGAUUAGCCUGUUCCUGUUCAAGAUGACCUAUAAAUCCAUGAAGCAUAUAUAUAUAUG